rnacentral:lncRNA from 1 species
AUAAUUUGCCUAGUACAUAGAGUGUGCUUUGUGGAUUUGUUGGGUUCUCUACACACUUAGAUAAGGGAUCCUUUUGCAAAGCACUUGGCACAAUGUGUGGUACCAUAAUACAUGGUACUUGAUGAAAGAGGGCUUAUAACAACACUAUGAUAAUUAUUGCUAUUACUAGUUGUCCAUUUUGUGCUCCUGUAGCAUAAUACCACAGACUGGGUAAUUUAUAAAGAACUUGAAUAUUUUCUCAAAGUUCUAGAGCCUGGGAAGAGCAAGACCAAGAUAUUCAGUUGCUUGGUGAGAGCUGCUCUCCGCUUCCAAGGUGAUGCCUUGUUGCUGUAUCCUCCAACAGGAAGGAAUGCUGGGGCCUCACGUGACAGAAGGUAGAAAGCCUGCAGAUGGCCUAUUGUGGGACCUUGUGAUCAUGAAGCAGCUUCUACUGCUCUCCCCUCUGGAGGGCCUAUGGGAAUGAAGGCAGCAGGGUGCCACAGAUCCUGGCAUUUGUGUUUGAAAGCCCAGAUUUGUCAAGCAAAAGAGUGACUGCAAAGAGGUGAAGUGAAUUAAAGGAAGCUGACAAAAAUAAUUUUUUUUUCUUGACACAAGAAAAAAAUGCUCCCAAGGAAGUAGAAAAUAGAAACAGAGUUAUACAGCACCUGGAUGGAAUAGGUAAAAGGGACCUGAAUGUAUUUACGUCCCCAGAAAAUAAUGGUCCUCAGACAUAGCUUUACUUCAGAUUCUCUACCUGGCAUUGGAUUAUGAAGCUCCCAGCUUUCACGAUAGCUCUGCUGCAGGACAGUCCAGUCUUCCCAAUAGCCCAGGCGAUGAACGUGUCACAAUAAGCAGACACAGAGAGAAAGAGGGCUUGGCCCAUUUUCUGGACAUGAACUAUAUCUUCAGAUGCUGGUGCAGCUCCCACUUGUGGUAAAGGAACAAGGGAUAUCAGUAAGGAUAUGUGAGAAUUUAUCUGAUUGAAAGUGUGACAGAACCAGAAGCAGAUUCUAGAGCCAUGCUUGUGUAGCCUUCAGAACCUUGAGUCAAUUAAAAUCUGUUCUCUGUAAAUUACCCAGUCUAAGGUACUUUUCUUUCUCUGUUUUGUUUUUGUUUUUUUUUUUUUUGUGGAGAAAGAGUCUCACUCUGUCUCCCAGGCUGGAGUGAAGUUGUGCCAUCUCGGCUCACAGCAACCUCCGCCUUCUGGGUUCAAGUGAUUCUCAUGCCUUGGCCUCCUGAGUAGCUAGGAUUACAAUUGUGCACUAUCACACUUUGCUAAUUUUUGUUAUUUUAGUAGAAAUGGGGUUUUACCACAAUGGCCAGGCUGGUCU